AAACCCACGAUUUCUGGACAUCACCACUGGGACAAACUUCCCUUUUUACUGAUAUUUAUAUUCUACGUAGGGAUCAGUAGAGGGGAAGGGAACAAAGAGUGAACAUUUAUUGAGCACCUACUGUAUGCCUAAGUGACAUAUGUACAGUUAUAGUUAUUUAUAGUUUUAGCAAUCUCAAGCCUAUAAAGUUUUCAUUGUUCUCUACAUUUAAAAAAUGUGUGUGUGUGUGUGUGUGUGUGUGUGUGUGUGUGUGUGUGUGUGUGUGAGAUCUGUUUAUGUGUGUGCACAUGUGUAUGUAUGAAUACCCAUGGAAGCCAGGAGGAAACAUCUGGUCCCUGGGUGCAGGAGUUCCAGGCCUUCUGACGUGGGUGCUAACGUGUGAGCGUUGGCCCUCUUGUAGAGUGGUAAGUGCUCUGGACCACUGAGCCCCUCUCCUGCACUGCCCCCUUUCCCUUCACACACACCGUACUUUAAGUUGCUACAGAAACUCUGAAGUUUCGACAAGCAUUCCAGGCACUGUAUCCUCAAUAAUAGAGUCCAAAACAGAGAAGUUGUCGGGGAGAAGGCAGAGUCCUGUUCUCUGUCAUUUAGGAGGGAAAUGUUCCCAUAGCCUCCCAUUGACAUUUUCAGAAUACCAUGAGAACUGAGAACUUACAUACUUAUUCAGCUUGCUUGUAUGGAAUCAUCUCUAACUUCAGUUUGGAAGCAUGAUGUGUUAAAAGAACUACAAGACACAAGUAUAUACAUACUGUAUAAUCUAAAUGGUGGAGAACAUAUAUGUGUGUAUACAUACACACAUGAACAGUUGAAUAGAAACGUGAAACAAAAAUCUGACAAAAGUUUAUAUGACCAAGUGGUCCCUGGUUCAGAGGGCAACUAAGUAGACCUGAGAAACCCUUUGCUUUGCUGGUGGUUGGGUAGAGCUCUGUAUAUGCUUUUAAAUCAGGAUUUAUUUUGUAUUCUGUUUCUAUUAUUUCCUCCCAAAGAAAAUGCAUGUAUUUUUCAGUGAUCUGUGCUAUUUUUGGACAAGGAAAUUAUUUUUGGAUAUUCAAAACAGCAUUAUUGACUUCUUAGGAGAAAAAAAGAAACAUUUGAUAUUUAAGCAAGAAAUGUGAACCAGCCAUUUAAAUGUUAGCAGAAAUAGGUAGGGCUUAUGCUCUGGAUGGCUUGUCAGGCUUAGCUGCUGAUUCUCAGUGCAACUCACAUCAGUCCACACUCAAAACUCUGCGCUUUUGAGGAAAACCAACUCACGAAAAGCACGUGAGUGCUGCAGUUCUCCCCAUUCUCAACAGUAUGACCAAGAGCAAGAAAGAGAAAACUGCAGAUCAUCUUGAGGCAGGUCCCCUUUUAUAGCAUGUUUGUCAAGUCUAAAUAAGUAAGAUGAGGGUGUCCUGCCACCACAGUUACCAUCUACACACCUUCAGCUACGGUCAGCUGAAAACAAAAAUGGGCUCAGUGCAUCUAAUUAUCCAAGAAAGGAUACUGAAGCGUGAUACUAAUUAGUCUGAUUAAUAAAAACCCAGAGUCAGAUAUCAGAGUGAAAGCUGAAAGAUCAGAGAAGCAGAGCAGCCAGCCAUUAACUUCUUACCUCUAUGAAAUCUCAGACCAAACUGGGCGGGAUUCAAUCUCUUCGAAUUCUCAGACUGAAUGGGGCGAGAUCCUGUCUCCACCAGCUUCAUAUUCCUGUCUCCACCUCCCUAGUGCUGGGAUCAAAGGCAUGAGAUCCCAAGUGCUGGGAUCAAAGGUGUGAGCCACCA